UGGGGAAUAUUGCACAAUGGGCGCAAGCCUGAUGCAGCAACGCCGCGUGAGGGACGACGGCCUUCGGGUUGUAAACCUCUUUUGGCAGGGAAGAAGCGAAAGUGACGGUACCUGCAGAAAAAGCACCGGCUAACUACGUGCCAGCAGCCGCGGUGAUACGUAGGGUGCAAGCGUUGUCCGGAAUUAUUGGGCGUAAAGAGCUCGUAGGCGGUUUGUCGCGUCUGCUGUGAAAACCCGAGGCUCAACCUCGGGCCUGCAGUGGGUACGGGCAAACUAGAGUGCGGUAGGGGAGAUUGGAAGUCCUGGUGUUGCGGUGGAAUGCGCAGAUAUCAGGAGGAACACCGAUGGCGAAGGCAGAUCUCUGGGCCGUAACUGACGCUGAGGAGCGAAAGCAUGGGGAGCGAACA
rnacentral:rRNA from 1 species